rnacentral:rRNA from 1 species
CACGUAGGGUGCGAGCGUUGUCCGGAAUUAUUGGGCGUAAAGAGCUCGUAGGCGGUGUGUCGCGUCGGCCGUGAAAUCCCGCGGCUCAACCGCGGGUCUGCAGUCGAUACGGGCAGGCUAGAGUUCGGUAGGGGAGACUGGAAUUCCUGGUGUAGCGGUGAAAUGCGCAGAUAUCAGGAGGAACACCGGUGGCGAAGGCGGGUCUCUGGGCCGAUACUGACGCUGAGGAGCGAAAGCGUGGGGAGCGAACAGG